rnacentral:rRNA from 1 species
UAGGGAAUCUUCGGCAAUGGACGGAAGUCUGACCGAGCAACGCCGCGUGAGUGAAGAAGGUUUUCGGAUCGUAAAGCUCUGUUGUAAGAGAAGAACGAGUGUGAGAGUGGAAAGUUCACACUGUGACGGUAUCUUACCAGAAAGGGACGGCUAACUACGUGCCAGCAGCCGCGGUAAUACGUAGGUGGCAAGCGUUGUCCGGAAUUAUUGGGCGUAAAGCGCGCGCAGGCGGAUAGGUCAGUCUGUCUUAAAAGUUCGGGGCUUAACCCCGUGAUGGGAUGGAAACUGCCAAUCUAGAGUAUCGGAGAGGAAAGUGGAAUUCCUAGCGUAGCGGUGAAAUGCGUAGAUAUUAGGAAGAACACCAGUGGCGAAGGCGACUUUCUGGGCGAAAACUGACGCUGAGGCGCGAAAGCCAGGGGAGCGAACGGGAUUAGAUACCCCGGUAGUCCUGGCCGUAAACGAUGGGUACUAGGUGUAGGAGGUAUCGACCCCUUCUGUGCCGGAGUUAACGCAAUAAGUACCCCGCCUGGGGAGUACGACCGCAAGGUUG